rnacentral:rRNA from 1 species
AUACGUAGGUGGCAAGCGUUGUCCGGAAUUAUUGGGCGUAAAGCGCGCGCAGGUGGUUCCUUAAGUCUGAUGUGAAAUACCCGGGCUUAACCCGGGAAUGGCAUUCCAAACUGGAAGGCUAGAGUGCAGGAGAGGAAAGUGGAAUUCCCCGUGUAGCGGUGAAAUGCGUAGAGAUUGGGAGGAACACCAGUGGCGAAGGCGACUUUGUGAACUGUAACUGACGCUGAGGCAUGAAAGCGUGGGGAGCAAACAGGCUUAGAUCCCCUGGUAGUCCACGCCGUAAACGAUGAGUACUAGGUGUAGGGGAGCCAUUCUCUGUGCCGCAGUUAACACAUUAAGUACUCCGCCUGGGAAGUACGGUCGCAAGACUAAAACUCAAAUGAAUUGACGGGG